AUGCCUAGGCAUAAAUACUUAACCCGCCAGAAAAUUACAAGCGAAAGCUUAAAACUCAAAAGACUUGACGGUGUCCCAACCUACCUAGAGGAGCCUGUUUCAUAAUCGAUAACCCACGAUAAACCCGACCACCCAUUGAAAGACCAGCCUAUAUACCGCCGUCGUCAGCCCGCCUUCCAAAAGGACUAAAGCAGGCCAAACAGAUUUUACUCUAAAAAGUCAGGUCAAGGUGUAGCUAAUGGGGUGGAGACAAUGGGCUACAUUUUUUAAAAUAAACCACACGAACUAGAUUUUGAAAUAAAACUACAAAGGUGGAUUUAGCAGUAAGCCAAAAAAGAAUACUUAGCUUAACCAAGCUCUGGGACACGUACACACCGCCCGUCACC
rnacentral:rRNA from 1 species